rnacentral:lncRNA from 1 species
UUCUUUUAUUUUUCAAUGCCCCUUGGCAAUCAUUAUUUCACCUGACCGUUUGAUCUCUUUUUUUUCAACAUCUUGAAUAUAGGUUCGCACGUGGUUGUUAGAUGAGAUGUGAACCAUGACAGGUAGUUCAAUCUUUCUAAGAAACCACGAACCUCUCUUUUUCUUUCUCGGUUCAGGCAUUUCUCUUAUUGUUCCUUUGUUUUUUUUUUUUU